UACAGAAGCGAGAAGAACCAGGGGGUCACGGUGACGGAGCUGUCGUUCGUCACGUACAACAACAUCACCGGCAAGAGCGUCACGUACGGCCCCUACGGCGGGCAUGGGAUGAGCGGCCAGACGAGCUUCCAGACGGCGGACGCGAGCGAGAUCGUGGGCUUGUAUGGAUUCACCUCGGACUACAUGCGCGGGAUUGGUUUCGCGCUCGAGCGUACCAAGAACUAGAAACUUGGCAUCAUGCCAUGAAUCUAUCUAUCUACUUACAAUUGUUGAUUUAUAGUUGAAUUUGAGAAUGUAACCUCUGUUUCAUCAGUCUUAAUAAAUACUCCACUUUGAUAAAAAAAAGUCAAUGGAAGUCAAAUAAAGGUGGAAAUGAAAUUGUUCGCCGGUACACUCCCCCCCCCUGGAUUGAUGGACUUACCAUGAGAAAGUCUUUAUUGACCUUCACAAAUUGAGUUUGAGUUGAGUGUAAUAUUGUUAUGAAUUGAAUAUUUACUAAUUCUUUCAGAUAUCAGUGCAUAAACCAUGUCAAUAUGGUUUCUGGCCUAUAUAAUUUCCUGGUGGAUCAUAGUUGCAACUAACAAGGUAAGAAUUCAUACCAUUGCACUGGACAUAAGCGCAUCCAACUCGAACAGAGUUCUUCCACACAACCUGCGUGUAGUGUCCACAGACCUUCUCUGCCGCGCAAGUGUUUGACGCAUAGUUGUAGUCGACUCGCUCGUUCACCCAGGCAGCCACAGCGUCAGUGGCGGGAGGAGCAGGCAAGCCGGGACUUCCCCACCACUUCCACAAAUUCUCGCCAUAUUUCCCACCCGAGUGGAUCAGCGCGCAGUUCUUUUGAUCCCGGAGAGUUGCCGCCCAGCUUGAUGCAAACGCGGCCACUGUAUCGUUCCAAACCAACCCCGAGACAUUCACAGCCGACCGAGCUGCGUUGUGCGCGUCGACAAGAUCACUCUGCUGGCUUGCUUGAAGAACAACCAAAGCAUCACAAGAGAAGAUCGCCAGAGUUGCAAAGAGGAGAGGAGAGCAAGGAGAUUUCAUGUUGCUGGGGCGAUGUUCACAAUCAAGAGCAAACUCCUACGUUUAUAUGCAAGGUCGUUGUUCUGAUCGAGUUUUUCCACUUGUGGCGCCGACUUAGCGCUUGCGAUUGUAUACGAUUUUUUGCUGCGACGGUGACCCAUGAAUCGAGUACGUUUUAGUUUGGUGCUCCAUGACUUUAGCCGCCUCUUUUCCUUCCACUGCUCGAGGAGCUUCUCUUCUGGACACCCUCUGGAUACAAAUUCAUGGAUGGCAGUUUCCUCAAGCAACUUGAAUCAUCCACAUGAAUCCAUUACCAACACUUUAGUGUUUGCGUGAACUAACUGUAUCCCAAAAAAUCUCACAAAGGAUUCUAUUUUGUAUUCAAGGUGGUAGUGAUGGUCUUUGAUCGAAUUCUUGGUUUUUUUUUUUUUAGCUUCUCUCAAUUUUCCAGGAUCGCAAGCUUUGGAGCAUGGGGUGGCUCCAGCGAUCCGAGUUCUCCGACCUCAAGGAGCGGAAUUCGGGGCCCAAAUGCCGGGCGUUCAAGGGGCAGGGGAAGAUCCAGUGCCCCAGUUGUGAUGGAUCGUCCAUGAGCAGCAGCAAGGAGCUCCAGAUCAUAGAUGUGUGAUUGAUAGUGUGUUGAUAGUGUGCCCAAAAUCUAGCCUGGCGCCAGCGCCGCAUUCGUAUCUGUGGUGCUUUUAGCGGACAUCAGACAAAUCUUCUUGCGGCUGGUUCUUAUGAUUGAACCAUAGCUGUACAAUGAGAGGUAUCUCCACCUAAUAGAGAGCUCUUGGCUUGGUCAAUUAAAACUUGGAUCUCUGUUUUAGUAGGAGACUCGGCCAGCCAAAGAAGCAUGUUGUCCAAAGACGUUUUGUCUUAGCGUCCUAAAGACAUCCAUUUCUACUCUGGACCCAUCGGCUCGUUGUAAAUCCCUACAUAUCGCUUGAAGGAGAAGUCACCGUUCCGGUGUCAAGCCGCGUGUCUUGCAGUGAAUGUAUAUCUGCAUCCUGGGUAACCAAAGCCCAAGAACGUCAACUUUCUGUUUCAAGUUGGAACUUUUGGUGACCAUCCGACGGUUGCAGAGGUACUCUUGCUUUUCCCUUAACUUCGCUAAUUUUUGGAAUUCAAGAUCAUUGUUUUGGGAACUGAUGGCCUUUUUCACAAUCUCUUCAACGACGACAUAAUCGAAGUUCUUAAAACAUCUCUUUGGGUCCGACCAAGUCAACUUGAAGGUGAACUCUCGCUGUUGUCGCCAGGCAGCUGCAGCAGACCGUGUAGCUGGGGCGCAGGCCGAGCGUUUGGACAGCCCGUUUGCCAGGGCGGCUGCAAAGGCGAGAAUGAAUUGGAGCGGUGGAAAACUAGAUGAUACCACGGCACUUGUGGCGUUUGUGACGUGAUAUUUGAGUAAGCUCUUCAAGCAGUUUUUGCGGAGGCCAGUGUAAAUUGCUCAGGCCGUUGAUUUUUGCGGAGGCCAGUGGAGCAGGGCAAGAAGCCAUAAUUUGGCUCACACCACUCCUCCUUGGCAGCUUUCCUGAGCCUCAACACGGACGGAAAUCCCGCCUUGUCGACCGAUGAUCCGCUACUGACGAGCGGCCGCCGCUGCCAAGGAAAAGCAUGCGAGCAGCACAAAGAUCGGCAAGAUGUAGCCUCUCGCCCUCAUGAUCGAAGGGUAACCCCCUGGUCGAUGGAAAAGGUAUCCCUGUGGCGCGGAGCUCUAGAUCUGCGCCGACUCACCUCGGGUUCUAGAAAUCUAUAGCGGCAAUGCACCCGGCGCCAUUGAUCGAUCGAAUCUGAUAAGUAGUGGAAUAUUCUGGUUCCCGUGAAUCUAGGGAUAGCGCGUUCAGCGAGUGUGUCGGUGAGCUCUCUCUCUCUCUCUUCAAAAUGGUCCAUUACUUCUUUAACUUGCCUGCCAAGGAAAGGAUGGGGUACUACUCAACAGAUAUCUACAAGAGCUUUAGAUUCUCCACAGAAUCCAUAGCAAGUGCAAAGAAAAAGUUUUGGAGCGACUAUUUGUUCCAGCACUGUCAGCCAGCAGUUCACGAGGAUGAUGUACCAGAAAGUGUUCCAAAUUACAGCUACAAACUUUCCUUUCACAGAUCUUUUUAUUUUACUUUUUUCUGUUUUAACACUAUAUAUUCAUUAUAACAAAGGAAAAUUACAAGCAAUUACGCCAAGGCUGUGGACGAACUUGCCAGAAAACUAUUGCGAAUUAUUGCUCAAAACCUUGGUCUAGAUUGGCAGAUCCUGGAGAAACACUUGGAUCCUCCCAAGCAAACCAUGAAGAUGACAUAUUAUCCAGUGUCCAUGCCCUGAUCAAGUAAUUGGUAUAGGUUGUCAUGCUGAUCCAGGAACCAUAACGGUGUUACAACAAGAACUUGGAGUUGAGGGCCUUGAGAUUAACUACAAUGGCCAAUGGAUUCCUGUGAAGCCAGUUGAAGGUGCAUUAGUCAUUAAUGUAGCAGACAUGCUCCAGGUGAAAUAAUUUUAUGACAUUUUCUAUGAGCUCUUAGUUUCCCUCUUACAGAUACUAAGCAACAAUAAAUAUAAGAGUGCGGAGCAUCGAGUUCUAGUGAACACUAUGAGGCCACGAGUUUCAAUUGCUUCAUUUUAUGGUCCUACAGAUGAUAAACAUAUUGCCCCACUGGAGGAGUUGCUAGGUGACAAUCCUCCCGUGUUCAAAGCAUGCUUGUUCAGAGAGUACAUGGACAACUUCUACAAGAACCACCUUGGGACGCGAAACAUUGAGAAGCUCAGAAUCUUAAACAACUGAUGAUAGGAAACAUAUUGUCAUGAUAAUACAUUAAUCCGAUCCUAAUAUGAUUAAUAUGACUGUCUGAAAGCUGUCUUACGACAGAGUUCGUGCGGUUUAUUUACCACAUUCCUUCAUGGGGCUCUUGUUUGCAUGUUGCUGUCCAAGAAGGCUGCACAAGAAAAGCCAAAGUUCUAAGGCUGCACAACUCUUCUGUCUAUAAAAGGAGUUUCUUCUUCUCUUGGUAGCGAUCGAUUAUAGCAAGGGAGAGAAGUUUCAGAGUUGUCCAAUGGCUGCAUUGUUGAGAUCCUUUGUUGUUCUCCUGGUAUACAUAUUAGCUCAUUUUUCCAAUGAUGUUUCUGUGAUGAAUUCUUUUGUUUUGUCGUAGCUUGUCGUCGUCACGGUGGAAGCGCGCUCCUGGUCUCCGCUCUACGGCACCAACGCGGGAGUGGGAUUCAACGACACGAGUUCUUCCUCGGCGAUCAAAACUCUCACCGCAAUCCGCGUACACUACGGCUGGGUGAUCGACGGCAUCCAGGGACAAUACGCCACCGGCAGCUCUUCAACCUGGAUGGCUAACCACGGCACAACCACGCAAUUCACAGAGGUCAGUCGCCCAAAAGAACCAAAAUGAGCAGUUUUCUCUUCUCCUAAUCAUUCCAUUCCAUGACGCAGAUCCAAGUCGCCUAUCCGUCCGAGAGGUUCGUGCGCGCCACCGGCAAGUACGGGCCGUACAGCAGCGAGAAGAACCAGGGGGUCACGGUGACGGAGCUGUCGUUCGUCACGUACAACAACAUCACCGGCAAGAGCGUCACGUACGGCCCGUACGGCGGGCAUGAGACGAGCGGCCAGACGAGCUUCCAGACGGCGGCCGCGAGCGAGAUCGUGGGCUUGUAUGGAUUCACCUCGGACUACAUGCGCGGGAUUGGUUUUGCGCUCGAGCCUUAGAAACUUGG
rnacentral:lncRNA from 1 species